rnacentral:rRNA from 1 species
UACGUAGGGUGCAAGCGUUUAAUCGGAAUUACUGGGCGUAAAGCGUGCGCAGGCGGUUUUGUAAGUCUGUCGUGAAAUCCCCGGGCUCAACCUGGGAAUUGCGAUGGAGACUGCAAGGCUAGAAUCUGGCAGAGGGGGGUAGAAUUCCACGUGUAGCAGUGAAAUGCGUAGAGAUGUGGAGGACACCGAUGGCGAAGGCAGCCCCCUGGGUCAAGAUUGACGCUCAUGCACGAAAGCGUGGGGAGCAACAGG